rnacentral:rRNA from 1 species
UACAGAGGCCACAAGCGUUAGACGGAAUCACUGGGCUUAAAGCGUGUGUAGGCGGGAUGGUAAGUACCUUGUGAAAUCCCACAGCUUAACUGUGGAAAUGCUUGGUAUACUGCCGUUCUUGAGUCACCUAGGGGCAGCUGGAACAGAGUGGUGGAGCGGAUGAAUGCAUAGAUAUCAUCUGGAACGCCAAUGGUGCAGACAAGCUGCUGGGGGUGUACUGACGCUGAGGCACGAAAGCCAGGGGAGCAAACGGG